GGGAUGGUGGGGAGUUGCCCCUUUCUGUAUAGGUUGGGAUUGGUUGCAAUGCUGUACUAUUUAUGUAGUAUUGCACUUGUCCCGGCCUGUUUAGGAUGCUUGGGAUUAUCAAAUGGUUUA
rnacentral:pre_miRNA from 14 species